rnacentral:rRNA from 1 species
GUGUCAGCAGCCGCGGUAAUACGGAGGGGGCUAGCGUUGUUCGGAAUUACUGGGCGUAAAGCGCACGUAGGCGGACUGGAAAGUUGGGGGUGAAAUCCCGGGGCUCAACCUCGGAACUGCCUUCAAAACUCCCAGUCUGGAGUUCGAGAGAGGUGAGUGGAAUUCCGAGUGUAGAGGUGAAAUUCGUAGAUAUUCGGAGGAACACCAGUGGCGAAGGCGGCUCACUGGCUCGAUACUGACGCUGAGGUGCGAAAGCGGGGGGAGCAAACAGGAUUAGAUACCCUGGUAGUCCACGCCGUAAACGAUGAAUGCCAGACGUCGGGCGGCUUGCCGUUCGGUGUCGCAGCUAACGCAUUAAGCACUCCGCCUGGGGAGUACGGCCGCAAGGUUAAAACUCAAAUGAAUUGGCGGGG